rnacentral:rRNA from 1 species
CGGGGUGAGUAAUGUCUGGGAAACUGCCCGAUGGAGGGGGAUAACUACUGGAAACGGUAGCUAAUACCGCAUAACGUCGCAAGACCAAAGAGGGGGACCUUCGGGCCUCUUGCCAUCGGAUGUGCCCAGAUGGGAUUAGCUAGUAGGUGGGGUAACAGCUCACCUAGGCGACGAUCCCUAGCUGGUCUGAGAGGAUGACCAGCCACACUGGAGCUGAGACACGGUCCAG